CACUUUAUGCACUUUAAGCAGGAAGUGACAAGGCAAGAGGCAUUGGUGCUGUUCAAAGACACUGGAGGCUUGACUGUAAUUUGGAGUUGUACAAGGGCACUGGAGGCUUAGCUAUAAUUUGGCUAUCAAGUACUUGUUAUCUUUAAGAUCUUGUGAUAAGUGUGCAUAACAGUAUGUUGUAAGGCUGCUGUUGUUCAAGCCAUGGCGGUGAGUUCAGCGUGCCACAACCGCGGUGGUGGUGCUAUCUCGGUUUCAGCUACCGUUCUCUCAGGAUGCACCAUUUGAAGGAAUCUAGAAGACCUGGAGCGGUGGCCUUCUUCUUCGAUUCCAUGUUGUGUCUAGGUAGAUUCUGGUGCGUCAGAGUAUGCUCGGUAGACCUAGACGGCGAGUUAACCUUGCUGCAACUGCGUUGGUGGUGCCA